UACGGAGGGUGCAAGCGUUAUCCGGAUUCACUGGGUUUAAAGGGUGCGUAGGUGGGUUGAUAAGUUAGUGGUGAAAUCCCCGAGCUUAACUUGGGAACUGCCAUUGAUACUAUUGAUCUUGAAUACCGUGGAGGUCAGCGGAAUAUGUCAUGUAGCGGUGAAAUGCUUAGAUAUGACAUAGAACACCAAUUGCGAAGGCAGCUGGCUACACGAAUAUUGACACUGAUGCACGAAAGCGUGGGGAUCAAACAGG
rnacentral:rRNA from 1 species